CCCAUAACAGAUAGAAUCAUUUCUAAAGUAAGCUUCUUUUAUCUGAACUCUUCAAAAGAGCCACAGAACUCCAACCUGGCGGAUGAGCUACAUCCCCGAUGCCCUAGAGUGAUACCUGGUAUCUUGGCUCCGGCCUCGAUGGUGAUGAUCUCGACCCUUUUGAGUGUCUGGCUUCGGUCGGCUUGACUGGGUGGGCGUUGGCGGACUUCUGACAGGC
rnacentral:snoRNA from 1 species